rnacentral:tRNA from 1 species
GUCUGNNAUAGCCAAGUGGUAAGGCAAGGGUCUGCAACACCCUGAUUCUCCAGUUCAAAUCUGGAUGGCGCCUCCA